rnacentral:rRNA from 1 species
UACGUAGGUGGCAAGCGUUGUCCGGAUUUACUGGGCGUAAAGCGCGCGCAGGCGGACUGAUCAGUCUGGGGUGAAAUCUCCCGGCUCAACUGGGAGCGGUCCCUGGAUACUGUCAGUCUUGAGAGACCUAGAGGAGAGCGGAAUUCCCGGUGUAGUGGUGGAAUGCGCAGAUAUCAGGAGGAACACCGGUGGCGAAGGCGGGACUCUGGGCCGAUACUGACGCUGAGGAGCGAAAGCGUGGGGAGCAAACAGG